ensembl:snRNA U1 U1 spliceosomal RNA
GAACUUACCUGGCAGGGGAGAUACCGUGAUCAAGAAGGCGGUUCACCCAGGGCGAGGCUCAGCCAUUGCACUCCGGCUGUGCUGACCCAUUUUUACAUUUACAUUUUACAUUUACAUUUACAGCAUUUAUC